AUCGCUUCUCGGCCUUUUGGCUAAGAUCAAAGUGUAGUAUCUGUUCUUAUCAGCUUAAUAUCUGAUACGUCCUCCAUUGGGGGACAUCGAUAUUAAACUGAUUUUUGAAAGGGGGUGAGGUGCCCGGGGCUUGCUCCGCCCUCACCACGGGUUGACCCGGUAUUGCAGUACUUCCGGGAAUGGCCCACCACCC
rnacentral:snRNA from 1 species